AAUUAUCUGGCUGAAAGAAAGCACUUGUCUUGAAAAUAAGAAAUAAAGGUUUCGAACCCUUUGAUAAUUU
rnacentral:tRNA from 1 species